GCGCCUUGCCAGCCCGCCUCAGAAACUCAAAGGAAAUUGACGGGGACCCGCACAAGCGGUGGAUGAUGUGGAUUAAUUCGAUGCAACGCGAACAACCUUACCUACCCCUUGACAUGUCCGGAAGCCUGCUGAAAGGCGGGGGUGCCUGAAAGGGAACCGGAACACAGGUGCUGCAUGGCUGUCGUCAGCUCGUGUCGUGAGAUGUUGGGUUAAGUCCCGCAACGAGCGCAACCCUUGUCCCUAGUUGCUACGCAAGGGCACUCUAGGGAGACUGCCGGUGACAAACCGGAGGAAGGUGGGGAUGACGUCAAGUCCUCAUGGCCCUUAUGGGUAGGGCUUCACACGUCAUACAAUGGUCGGUACAGAGGGUCGCCAACCCGCGAGGGGGAGCCAAUCCCACAAAGCCGAUCGUAGUCCGGAUUGCAGUCUGCAACUCGACUGCAUGAAGUCGGAAUCGCUAGUAAUCGUGGAUCAGCAUGUCACGGUGAAUACGUUCCCGGGUCUU
rnacentral:rRNA from 1 species